CCCUUAGAUGUUCUGGGCCGCACGCGCGCUACACUGAUGCAUUCAACGAGUCUAAAACCUGGUCUGAGAGGGCUGGGUAAUCUUUUGAAAGUGCAUCGUGAUUGGGAUAGAUGAUUGCAAUUCUUCAUCUUCAACGAGGAAUGCCUAGUAAACGCAAGUCAUCAGCUUGCAUUGAUUACGUCCCUGCCCUUUGUACACACCGCCCGUCGCUCCUACCGAUUGAACGAUCCGAUGAAAACUGUGGAUUGAGAGUCAGAGUGGGUUCGCCUACCUCAACUUUCGAGAAGCGGUUUAAAUCUUAUCGUUUAGAGGAAGGAGAAGUCGUAACA
rnacentral:rRNA from 1 species